UUUUAAAAAAUACGCCGUCUUGGAGCUUUACUAGGACUCACUAGAAAAAUACCUAAAUCUGGAAGUAAUCUUAAAAAAAAUUCUGGGAAAAAGGAGAAAUAUCGUAUUCAUCUUCAAGAAAAACAUAAAUUGCGUUUUCAUUAUGGUCUGACAGAACGACAAUUACUUAGAUAUGUACAUAUCACAAGAAAAGCAAAAAGGUCAACAAGCUAGGUUUUACUACAAUUACUUGAAAUGCGUUCGAAUAAUAUCCUUUUCCGACUGGGUAUGGUUUCAACCAUUCCCGGGGCCCGCCAAUUGGUCAACCAUAGACAUAUUUUAGUUAAUGGUUGUAUAGUCAAUAUACCAAGUUUGCGUGGAAAACCCCGAGAUAUUAUUAUUACGAAAGAUAACCAAAGAUCAAAAGGUAUGCUUCAAAAUUAUAUUGCUUCAUCGGACCCGAGGAAAUUGCCAAAGCAUUUGACGAUUUACACAUUGGAAUAUAAAGGACUAGUAAAUAAAAUCCUAGAUAGGAAGUGGGUCGGUCUCAAAAUAAAUGAGUUGUUAGUUGUAGAAUAUUACUCUCGUCGUACUUGA
rnacentral:rRNA from 1 species